ensembl:lncRNA
AGAAGCACAUCCGUGUUCACACAGGUGAAAAACCCUAUGCCUGCCUGAAGUGCGGCAAGAGGUUCAGUCAGUCCAGCCACCUGUACAAACACUCGAAGACCACCUGCCUGCGCUGGCAGAGCAGCAACCUCCCCAGCACUUUGCUCUAGCCUGACCUCGAGAUAACGCCGAUGCCAGUUGUAGGACCGGAACUAAAAUCUCUGGUUGGUUGGUGGUUAAUGCCAUGGGGUUUAAGACUUCAGGCUGUGAGUGGCUCAUGCAGAUUUCGAAGACUAACAAGUGGAGAGUUCACAGGUGUCGUGCUUGUGCCGCCGCAUCUGAGUGCAGUGCACACAUUCAGAGAAGGGAUCCAGUCCCUGAAACCACGUUCUUCCUUAGGGUUGAGUAAUGCAGUCGGAAAGUAGUCUGUAAUUGAUGUUAGAAGUGGCACAUUGAAAAAUUAAACAUUGAAGUGCAAAAACAUUUUUUAGCAAUUUUUGUAAAACCGAAGCAUUUAAUUAAAUUUCCUAUAUACCUUCUGAUGAGAAUAUUAUAUACUUGUAUACAGUGAUGCAAAAUGCACUACGUGUAACCAGUGGCAACUUUGUGCCUGUCUAAAAGGAACACCCUUGAGGACACGCCUGCCUGCCAGAAAUGCUUUAAAGUCUAUCAUGAGCUGGCUCUAGGCUUCAGAAAGUACUGUAUUUUUUUGUCUGAUUUGCAGUCACAGAUGCUGCACUUUGAUGGUGCUGACACUGGGUCCAGAGCGAGCAUUCUCUGGACUAACAGAUUUCGGGGGCCGGUCCAGCCUGACACAUCUCACCCAACGACAAGCCCGUUUUCUGCUUCGCUUCUUCACACUUUCAUGCCACUUACAGCAUCUUUCCUGGGCCUAGAUUACUGUUUUCAGGUUAAGGUUGAAACAAAAGAGUGAAAUAGUAUUGCUUUUUCUGCUAACCCUGCUGUUACCAUGUUACCAGUACUCUGUUUUAAACCAGGCAUCUUAGAAAAUACUCUGAUGCUGUCAGUAACAAGUAUUGGUCAUUAGUCCCUUGCGCUUUUUCCCUCUGCGCUGUGGAUGGGGCUGAGGCGGUGUCCUCAGUCCACCGGCCCUCCCAGAGGGCCUGCCAAAUUGUGUACUUCUGCUGCUCCCUUACCUGCCUCCCAGGGGAGAAACCCCACUCUUCAGUCUGGCUUGGCUGCGGGGGAAAAGCCGGAGCGGAGUCCCUUAGCAGGCGCAGGGCUUUGGCAGUGCUGGCAGCCAGGCCUGAGGAGUGAGGAGGUGCUUAGUAAAGGGCAUCCACCUGGGAGCGGGAAGGAGGAGGAAAUGGACACGAGGAACAAAGUGUGACGGUGCUGAAACUUAAGUUUAAAAUAAAAAUGAAAGAAACCUACCUACCCUGAUGAUUCUUGACCAAAAAGUGAGUAUUGUGACUUUACCUAGUUCUCUUUGCCACGUGUAUUUAAUUUGCCUAAUGGUCUAGGUAGCAGGUCCCAUUGCUGUGGUCACCACUGGGCUGUGACUGUCCUGUCCUCAGUGAGAGAAACUUGGAGGCCUUUUGGCUGAGGCUAAGGUGGCUUGGCAUCUG